rnacentral:rRNA from 1 species
ACCACUUUCGACACCGGAUCUCUUGGUUCUCCCAUCGAUGACGAACGCAGCGAACCGCGAUAGGUAAUGUGAAUUGCCGACUUCCGUGCAUCCUCGACUCUUUGACCGCACCUUGCGCUCCAUGGUAUUCCGUGGAGCAUGCCUGUUUGAGUGCCGCG